CGGUCGCAUAGUAUAAAACCUAUGCGACCGCGAGUGAACCUCCAGGGAUUAAAAAGGGCGUUUUCCUUAAACCUAUGCGGUCGCAUAGCAACAAGACGUCCAGAAGCCGCACGAACGACUUGGGAGGCAAAAGCAUUCAUCUUGGGGUGGAAUUGAAGGCAAGAACAAGCAAUUGAUGCGAGAUUUACGAGAUUUCUUCAACCUUUGAUAACCCGGUGAUGUAUUUUAUUCAUAUUUUGUUAGUUUUCGUUAUUUUUAUCAUGAUAGGCUAGAUUUUUGCAACUAGGUGAUUGAUGAACCAUGUAAUUUUUAUUAAACUUUCUAUUUCAUGAUUUUGAAUUAUUAGUUUGAUGGAUAUUUGAAUGGAUUAUAUUGAUUUACUUAUUUCCA